GCCCUAGUAGCUUACCUAAAGCACUGGUCUUGUAAGCCAGAGACGAGGACUACAAAUCCCCCUAGGACA
rnacentral:tRNA from 1 species